rnacentral:tRNA from 1 species
GAAGUGUUUGCACAUCUGGUGAUGGCCCUGGUCUUCAAAACCAGUGGGGGGCUUGAAGAAAGUCCUCAGUGGGUUCGAUUCCCAUACACUUCC